rnacentral:rRNA from 1 species
UACGAAGGGGGCUAGCGUUGCUCGGAAUCACUGGGCGUAAAGCGCACGUAGGCGGAUCUUUAAGUCAGGGGUGAAAUCCCAAGGCUCAACCUUGGGACUGCCUUUGAUACUGGGGAUCUCGAGUCCGGAAGAGGUGAGUGGAACUGCGAGUGUAGAGGUGAAAUUCGUAGAUAUUCGCAAGAACACCAGUGGCGAAGGCGGCUCACUGGUCCGGUACUGACGCUGAGGUGCGAAAGCGUGGGGAGCAAACAGG